rnacentral:tRNA from 1 species
GCCCGCCUAGCUCAAUCGGACAGAGCGUCAGACUCUUAAUUCUAAGAGUGGCGGGUUAUCUAUGACAUCUGAAGGCUGGGGGUUCGACUCCCCCGGUGGGCU